GGGCUGGGGCUCAGUGGCAGAGCACUCGCCUAGCACAUGUGAGGCCCUGGGUUCGAUCCUCAGCACCACA
rnacentral:tRNA from 1 species